rnacentral:tRNA from 1 species
AACGAUAUAUAAAUUGAAUUACAAUUUUAAGUAAGGUACAUCGUGGAUUAUCGAUU